rnacentral:rRNA from 1 species
GAUGAACGCUGACAGAAUGCUUAACACAUGCAAGUCAACUUGAACUUCGGUUUGGGUGGCGGACGGGUGAGUAACGCGUAAAGAACUUGCCUCACAGAUAGGGACAACAUUUGGAAACGAAUGCUAAUACCUGAUAUUAUGAUUAUAUGGCAUCGUAUAAUUAUGAAAGCUAUAUGCGCUGUGAGAGAGCUUUGCGUCCCAUUAGCUAGUUGGAGAGGUAACGGCUCACCAAGGCGAUGAUGGGUAGCCGGCCUGGGAGGGUGAUCGGCCACAAGGGGACUGAGACACGGCCCUUACUCCUACGGGAGGCAGCAGUGGGGAAUAUUGGACAAUGGACCAAGAGUCUGAUCCAGCAAUUCUGUGUGCACGAUGAAGUUUUUCGGAAUGUAAAGUGCUUUCAGUUGGGAAGAAAAAAAUGACGGUACCAACAGAAGAAGUGACGGCUAAAUACGUG